AUUGAACGCUGGCGGCAGGCCUAACACAUGCAAGUCGAGCGGCAGCGGGAAGUAGCUUGCUACUUUGCCGGCGAGCGGCGGACGGGUGAGUAAUGUCUGGGAAACUGCCUGAUGGAGGGGGAUAACUACUGGAAACGGUAGCUAAUACCGCAUAAUGUCGCAAGACCAAAGAGGGGGACCUUCGGGCCUCUUGCCAUCAGAUGUGCCCAGAUGGGAUUAGCUAGUAGGUGGGGUAACGGCUCACCUAGGCGACGAUCCCUAGCUGGUCUGAGAGGAUGACCAGCCACACUGGAACUGAGACACGGUCCAGACUCCUACGGGAGGCAGCAGUGGGGAAUAUUGCACAAUGGGCGCAAGCCUGAUGCAGCCAUGCCGCGUGUAUGAAGGAGGCCUUCGGGUUGUAAAGUACUUUCAGCGGGGAGGAAGGUGUUGAGGUUAAUAACCUCAGCAAUUGACGUUACCCGCAGAAGAAGCACCGGCUAACUCCGUGCCAGCCGCCGCCGUAA
rnacentral:rRNA from 1 species